ACCUCCACUCACGUACUCGUGCGCGCUGCGGAGGAAGUCCCGCCCCUAUGGCAAACUCAGCUAUCUGAUUGGCUGCCUCGCGGACCAAAGCUGUGCCGAUGGGAGAGCUGGCUUGGGGCGCUGGACCCUCCUCUUCCAACUUUGCUCCUCCCCGCUUAGGGAAGGGCCACAGAAAGUGAAAUUUUGUGUGCUCCCUCCUACUGGAGACUUAGUCAGCUCCCGCACAGUAACAUGAGAAAACAGACGCAGGACGAUUAAUUUGCCAGAGUCAUACAGCUAAUGUUACAGAGCUCAGACCUGACUCGGAGCUCCAUAACCUUAACGAGGGACCUCCCACCAGGAGUUAAUAUUAGGCCUCUGAGCCCAAGCUAAGCCAUCAUAUCCCCAGUGACCUGCACGUAGACAUCCAGAUGGCCUGAAGCAACUGAAGAUCCACAGAAGCGAAAAGAGCCUUAACUGAUGACCUUCCACCAUUGUGAUUUGUUUCUGCCCCACCCUAACUGAUCAAAGUACUUUGUAAUCUCCCCCACCCUUAAGAAGUUUCUUUAUAAUUCUCCUCGAGAAUGUACUUUGUGAGAUCCACCGCCUA